rnacentral:rRNA from 1 species
CACGUAGGCACCAAGCGUUAUCCGGAUUUAUUGGGCGUAAAGAGCUCGUAGGCGGUUCGGUAAGUCGGGUGUGAAAACUCUGGGCUCAACCCAGAGAGGCCACCCCGAUACUGCUGUGACUAGAGUGCGGUAGGGGAGCGGGGAAUUCCUGGUGUAGCGGUGAAAUGCGCAGAUAUCAGGAGGAACACCAGCGGCGAAGGCGCCGCGUCUGGGCCGUAACUGACGCUGAGGAGCGAAAGCGUGGGGAGCGAACAGG